rnacentral:misc_RNA from 1 species
UUUUGUUUACAGAUCAUUAAUUGAAUUUUAAUUUAAAUACUAUUAUAAAAUUUUCCAUUCCUACUAUACAUUUUUUACUAAUGUCAAGUCAUAUUAAACUAAUUGCUAUAAAUACCACGAAAUACCGACAGCUUUAAAUUCUUCGCUUUGACUCAGCAUUUGUCAGUUCUCCGCCCGUGUUCAACGAAUCAGGUCGACCGUAAUCAUGAAGAUCAUUUUUCUUAUAAUCUCCAUGUUCCUGGCCAUCGCGAUGGCUCGGCAGGAUUGCCUCUGUCCGGACCUUCAUCGGCCAGUUUGCGGCGUUUCCGGCGUAACCUAUGAAAAUAUAUGCAGAUUGUUUUGCACAAAUGACCAAUUAGCAUACUCCUCGCGUUGCAUCUGACGAGAUCGACUGAACUGACCGAGGAUUACUGAACGAUGUAAACGAUGUAAUGAAUAAAAUAUAAUAUAUUUUGAUAAUGAAUGUUUUGUUUUAAUAUAACGCUUCAUUUUAAAUAGUAUUAAAAGUACAAUACACGAUUAAAUUUUAAAAUUGUAUUCGAAACCUAAUGCUAAGGAUAACAAUACUUUUAUUAGGGGCUAGGAAUUAUAUGUAAAUGUUCUGUUAGCUUAUAUUCUCUGCCUUCCAUUACCUCAAUUUUUUUCUCCUUUACACUUUACACUUUUUUUUGCCCUUUCAAUUCCUACCCAGAGUAUGGAAAUAAUGUUUACAUGCGUAUUCUUUAAAAUAUAUCAAUUAGAAGAAGAAGAAGAAGAAGAAAUAUACUUUAUUGUGCAUAUUACAAGCCGACAUAACAUACAUCUUUAAAAAAUAAA